GCUGUUAAAAAGCUCGUAGUUGGAUCAAGAGUACAACGGUGCAAGGUGGCCUCGUUUGUGUCCGUGGCUCCGGUCGCUGGCACGGCGGCGGAUCAACCCCUUGCACUAAACCGUUGUCUCUAACAGGCCGAAGCGGUUCCCUGUGAGUAGGCCACUUCAUUGGGGCUGAAAGCGAUUACGCAUCUACCACAUGCAUACGGGACGUCGGCCAAUGUUACUGUGAACAAACCAGCGUGUCCAAAGCAGGCUUUCGCCUGAAUGUUCGAGCAUGGAAUAACAAGGGAUCGAUUCUCUCGGUUCUUUUUGUUGGUUUUUAACCCGAGAAGGAGUAAUUCAGGCCACGGUGUCUGGGCUGGGUUCCCCUAGGCUUCGGCUUAGGCCCCAGUUAGGCCGUGUUCUUACGGGAUAAAUAGGGACUGACGGGGUCGUACGUACUUCCACGUCAGAGGUGAAAUUCUUAGAUCGUGGGAAGACGAACUUCUGCGAAAGCAUUCGACAAGAAUGUCUUCAUUAAUCAAGAACGAGAGUGUGGGGAUCGAAGAUGAUCAGAUACCGUCGUAGUCCACACUGUAAACAAUGCCGUCUCAGGGUUGAGAAGUGAACAGAAUGACUUUCGCAGCACUAACCCCUGAAACGAGA
rnacentral:rRNA from 1 species